GGGGCCGACUGGUUUUGACAGCGAGACCAAUGGCGAUGUAAGCAUGUCGAGCGCUGAGAUACAGCUCGUUAAUCUCAUGACUCACACCUUUUAAAUGGCGAGUCUAACUACGCUUUAGCUGCCUAACAGACUGAAUUACAGUAAGUCUUGGCCUAGUCCCGCAAGGCGGGAAAGCUGAAUGUCCCUGGGUAGCCCUUGUUGACGGCGACCCACUCAGGGGCACCAUAAAUGUCAACAUAGCGCUUUUACGGCUUCGGUAAGGGCGUAAAUCUUAAGAAGCUAAGUGUGUAAUGGGCGGUUUUUGGUCAGUUACACAUCGAAAAUCGAACAAAGACUAAGCAUGUAGAAAGCAUGGCUGUUGCUUGUUUGGACGAGGGUUCGAAUCCCUCCGGCUCCACCU
rnacentral:tmRNA from 1 species